ACUUGACUAGAGGAGAAGAACUCAGGAAUGUUCAGAAACAUUUGAGAAAUGACGGUUGGUAAUCAAAUUCUCCUUUUUUAUUUAUAUUUUAAUUGCAAACAAUUGUAAAUAAUUCAAUCAAAUGUAAAUUUUGGCAUAUCACAGUUCCAUGCUUGACCAACCCGAAGCCUGAACUUCCGUUGCUAGGUGAGCACUUGUAUUUUUAUUGAUUGGUAUUUAUUUUAUGUUAAACUUGUCUCAUUCAAUUAUAUUUGUAUCUUUAUUGUUGAACAUAUCUUUGUUAUUCAGAGAAGCAUUGUGGGGUUAUUUAAUGCUCAUUGCAUUGUCAAAUAUACACGGUUGUUCAGUUUAUUCGUGUAACUUUUGUGUUCUUGAACACUGGUUCCCUACCAUCCUCCGCUUCCUACUCCUGCACCGUGUCGUCACAUGGUCUUUUGAUUUGUUUGUGAUUUGUUUGUUUGCACGUGCCCGACUAUUCUCUCCUCGCGCUCGGGGGAUAUGUAUAUUCCCUGUUCAUUUACUUUGUUGUGUCCCUCCAUUUGCUCUGUUUUCCCUCCGCUUCUGUUUUCUUUCUUUAGGUCAGGAUUUUGUGGUGAAGUACAGCAUGAUGCAUGGACAGAAUUCAAAGGAAUGGAAAUUUCUCUGUUUGCUCUGUGGCCGAAAUCUGGGAACAAAGGAGAGCACUGCCCACGUGCUCAGUUAUGAACAUGCCAAGAAUUUCUUGGAAAAAGCCCACUGUGGCUCAUUGGAUUGUAGUGAUGUAAGUAGAGAAACAUUACUGGAUCUUGCAGAGCAAGCAGCAGAAAGACACCCAGUAUCAGAAAUGCAGGUAAGUGUUUGUGGUUCAGUGGUUAAAUUCAAAACCUCGAGCUUCCAUAUCUAUGCUUCUACUGUCUUUUUCAUAAUUUUCUGUUUUACUUUUAGACUCUAUUGCUUGACGAACCUCUCUUUGAAUCGAAUGAAUAUUUAAAGGGUAAGGACAUUCAUUUUACACAGUCCGGACUGAAUGUUUUUCUUUUGUCUGUUCAAAACU
rnacentral:lncRNA from 1 species